rnacentral:rRNA from 1 species
UACGUAGGGGGCAAGCGUUGUCCGGAAUUACUGGGCGUAAAGGGCUCGUAGGCGGCCAACUAAGUCAGACGUGAAAUCCCUCGGCUUAACCGGGGAACUGCGUCUGAUACUGGAUGGCUUGAGUUUGGGAGAGGGAUGCGGAAUUCCAGGUGUAGCGGUGAAAUGCGUAGAUAUCUGGAGGAACACCGGUGGCGAAGGCGGCUCUCUGGGAGCGGUACUGGACGCUGAGACGCGAAAGCGCGGGGAGCGAACGGGG